GAUGAACGCUGGCGGCGUGCCUAAUACAUGCAAGUCGAGCGAACAGACGAGGAGCUUGCUCCUCUGACGUUAGCGGCGGACGGGUGAGUAACACGUGGAUAACCUACCUAUAAGACUGGGAUAACUUCGGGAAACCGGAGCUAAUACCGGAUAAUAUAUUGAACCGCAUGGUUCUAUAGUGAAAGACGGUUUUGCUAUCACUUAUAGAUGGAUCCGCGCCGCAUUAGCUAGUUGGUAAGGUAACGGCUUACCAAGGCAACGAUGCGUAGCCGACCUGAGAGGGUGAUCGGCCACACUGGAACUGAGACACGGUCCAGACUCCUACGGGAGGCAGCAGUAGGGAAUCUUCCGCAAUGGGCGAAAGCCUGACGGAGCAACGCCGCGUGAGUGAUGAAGGUUUUCGGAUCGUAAAACUCUGUUAUUAGGGAAGAACAAAUGUGUAAGUAACUGUGCACGUCUUGACGGUACCUAAUCAGAAAGCCACGGCUAACUACGUG
rnacentral:rRNA from 1 species